GGGUGUUUGCAAGCCACCUAUCCAACAAUUCUAGUUGAUAUGAUCACUAGGCACACAAGAGCUAUGUCACUACUUACACUAGAGAGCACCUAAAGUUUCUAUACAAGUAAAUAGGCUACUCUAGUUUGCGGGAAUGUAAGAAAGAGGAUUUGAUCUUUAUACCACCGCGUAGAGGGGAUGAACCAAUCACAAUAAUAUGAAGUCCAAUCACCAGGAGA
rnacentral:lncRNA from 1 species